UCAACGCUGGCGGCGUGCCUCAGACAUGCAAGUCGAACGAUUAAAGCUCUCUUCGGAGAGUGUAUAGAGUGGCGCACGGGUGAGUAACACGUAAGUAAUCUACCCUCGAGUGGGGAAUAACAACCGGAAACGGUUGCUAAUACCGCAUAAUGCAGCGGCACCGCAAGGUGACAGUUGUUAAAGAUUUAUCGCUUGAGGAGGAGCUUGCGGCAGAUUAGCUAGUUGGUAGGGUAACGGCUUACCAAGGCUACGAUCUGUAACCGGUCUAAGAGGGCGGUCGGUCACACUGACACUGAAUAACGGGUCAGACUCCUACGGGAGGCAGCAGUCGGAAUUUGGGCAAUGGGCGAAAGCCUGACCCAGCAACGCCGCGUGAAGGAUGAAGUAUUUCGGUAUGUAAACUUCGAAAGAAUAGGAAGAAUUAAUGACGGUACUAUUUAUAAGGUCCGGCUAACUACGUG
rnacentral:rRNA from 1 species